GCCAUGCACCCGACACGCGGUACCGUCUCCUCGAAAUCGACGACGGCGAGACGGAAGCCGGUGAAAGUCCGGCACGGUCGCGCCACUGUGUACGAGCACCCCGUGCGGCGGGGUGGUUCGUGAGUCAGACCCGUGGCCGUCGUCCUGUGCACCAC
rnacentral:ncRNA from 1 species